AUGGGACAGGAAUCCCUGAUUCUUUUGUUUACACAGUCGUCAAACCAAUGGCAUCAGGCAGGUUGGGGGCCCCGGGGAGAACGGAGGUCAGCAGUCCCUGGAUGCAGCUCAGGCAACUUUGAGGGAGGCGACAUUGAGACGGUCCCUUCUCACCCCCACUCAUGUCCUGCCCUCCCUGCCCCACGGCCCCUGUCAGACUCUCGGUGCCUCGGGCCUGCCACACGGCUGCCACACGGCUGGCAUGGGCCUCUACUCUCUGCUACCCACUCACCCUGCGUCCUCCUUAACCAAUCCCAGCUGCCAGCUGAAGAGCCCAGAAACAGGUGCCGGCUGCCCGGGCUCAGCCGGAUCCAGGUGCUCAGACAUGUUGCCGGUGUCCCUCUCGUCCCAGGGCUGUGCUGUCCUGGGCCGGCUUACCCUCAGACAGACUCUUCCCAAUGGCAUCAGCUGCAGGCUCACAGCUCAGCAUGCAGCAGCCACAGGGAGGUGGCCACAGCUACAGCCCCAUGCCCGGCUGUGUCUUUGCAGCACCUCCUAAGGCUCCUGCGGCUGGACCUGGUGCUGGUGCCCACCACCCCUGACCUGGCGCACAGGCGGGGUCACUGUGCCUCACAGGCCAGACAGUGUGCCCAGGAGAGCCAAGUGCUCGUGCUGGAAGAGGAGACACUGAAGGCUCAAGGAAGAACAAUGGGAGCCAACCACCAGCCCUCCUUGAAGCACCCCCGGUCCCCACGCCCAGGAACCGAGCUCUCUGGCCCCCGGGCUGCCCCCGCCCCUAUUCCCUCCACUGCUGUAGUCAGGCCUGGGGUCAAGCCCCCGCUGGCCGUGCCUCGUUUCAUAAACUCCCUCUGGUUCCUCCUGGGAGCACAGCGUGCUCAGUCCCAGCUCUACAUCUUUGCCGUUGCUGAAUCCUCCAGUACCAAAAUCACGCUCCUUUCUCACAUUCCAUCUGAGUCCCAUGCUGUCUGCGAAGGACUUCAGGGAACACUUCUCUCUCAAUUCCUGGUGUCUCGUCUUUAG
rnacentral:lncRNA from 1 species